UCCCUCCCUCUAAAAGCACUCUGUGUGGGGAACAUGAGAGCCAGACCAAAGCUCAGAGGAACCCACCUGGACCUCCACCCAGCUCUGUGUCCUUACAGAGUGACUGGUCUAAAGAUGCUGAUAUUGACUUUAAAUCAGGCGUGUGUCAUCCUGCAGAGAGAGUGGACCAGCAGAGCUCAGAGGUUCCCAGUGGUCAGUCUGCCCAGCAGCAUCAAACACAGCUGGACUCCAUAUUUAUGGUCUGUACAUGUACAACAACUACUUUUAAUAUUAAUUGAGCUAUUCGUUAUAACGAUAUAUAUUGGAUGACAAUAUAAAAACAUCUAUCGUUUCAUAUUACGCUAUCGUUUGUUUUGUGGUGUCGCAAAAUAAACUGUUUAAGGCAGGCGUGUCCAAAGUCC